rnacentral:rRNA from 1 species
UACGAAGGGGGGCUAGCGUUGCUCGGAAUCACUGGGCGUAAAGCGCACGUAGGCGGCUUUUUAAGUCAGAGGUGAAAUCCUGGAGCUCAACUCCAGAACUGCCUUUGAUACUGGAGAGCUUGAGUCCGGGAGAGGUGAGUGGAACUGCGAGUGUAGAGGUGAAAUUCGUAGAUAUUCGCAAGAACACCAGUGGCGAAGGCGACUUACUGGACACAUAUUGACGCUGAGGUGCGAAAGCGUGGGGAGCAAACAGG